rnacentral:rRNA from 1 species
AUUGAACGCUGGCGGCAUGCUUUACACAUGCAAGUCGGACGGCAGCACAGAGAAGCUUGCUUCUUGGGUGGCGAGUGGCGAACGGGUGAGUAACAUAUCGGAACGUACCGAGUAAUGGGGGAUAACUAAUCGAAAGAUUAGCUAAUACCGCAUAUUCUCUGAGGAGGAAAGCAGGGGACCUUCGGGCCUUGCGUUAUUCGAGCGGCCGAUAUCUGAUUAGCUAGUUGGUGGGGUAAAGGCCUACCAAGGCGACGAUCAGUAGCGGGUCUGAGAGGAUGAUCCGCCACACUGGGACUGAGACACGGCCCAGACUCCUACGGGAGGCAGCAGUGGGGAAUAUUGCGCAAUGGGGGCAACCCUGACGCAGCCAUGCCGCGUGAAUGAAGAAGGCCUUCGGGUUGUAAAGUUCUUUCGGUAGCGAGGAAGGCAUUUAGUUUAAUAGACUAGGUGAUUGACGUUAACUACAGAAGAAGCACCGGCUAACUCCGUGCCAGCAGCCGCGGUAAUACGGAGGGUGCGAGCGUUAAUCGGAAUAACUGGGCGUAAAGGGCACGCAGGCGGUGACUUAAGUGAGGUGUGAAAGCCCCGGGCUUAACCUGGGAAUUGCAUUUCAUACUGGGUCGCUAGAGUACUUUAGGGAGGGGUAGAAUUCCACGUGUAGCGGUGGAAUGCGUAGAGAUGUGGAGGAAUACCGAAGGCGAAGGCAGCCCCUUGGGAAUGUACUGACGCUCAUGUGCGAAAGCGUGGGGAGCAAACAGG